GUGGUCACCGUAGACCCAACACCAUGAUUAGUGAUGACAAACCAGAUUAUGACCUAGAUUUAUUUUUUAUAGCUGAUUAUUACAUGGAGGGUUUGAAAAAGGUGUUUAUUCUUCAUGGACUAAUUAAGGGCAGGGCCAAAUAUGUGAUGCUCAAUACGUGAUGUAGGAGAUGGGAGGCCAUGACAUUGUAGCCCUCUGUGUGUUCAAGGGGGCUAUGAAUUAUUUGCUCACCUGCUGGAUUACAUCAAAGCGCUGAUUAGAAAUAGUCAUAGUUCCAUUCCUAUGCUAUAGAUUUUAUCAGACUGAAGAGCUACUGUAAUCACCAGUCAAAAGGGGAGUGUAAAAGUAAUUGGCUGAGAUAAUCUCUUAAAUUUAACCAGAAAGAAUGUCACGAUUAUUAAGAUAUAAUUAACACUGGUGAAAUAAUGCAAAGCUUGCUUUCCUUGGUCAGAGAUAGUCAGGAUUGCAAGCUUGCUGGUGAACAUGACUCCAGAAAGUGUUGGAUAUACACCAGCCUCAUGUUUGUGUUAUCAGUGAAACUAAA
rnacentral:lncRNA from 1 species